rnacentral:tRNA from 1 species
AGUAUAAAAGUACACUGUACUUGAAAUACAGAAAAUAGUUAUAAACUA